rnacentral:rRNA from 1 species
AGAGUUUGAUCAUGGCUCAGAUUGAACGCUGGCGGCAGGCUUAACACAUGCAAGUCGAGCGGGGUGAUGUAGCUUGCUACAUUACCUAGCGGCGGACGGGUGAGUAAUGCUUAGGAAUCUGCCUAUUAGUGGGGGACAACAUUCCGAAAGGAAUGCUAAUACCGCAUACGCCCUACGGGGGAAAGCAGGGGAUCUUCGGACCUUGCGCUAAUAGAUGAGCCUAAGUCAGAUUAGCUAGUUGGUGGGGUAAAGGCCUACCAAGGCGACGAUCUGUAGCGGGUCUGAGAGGAUGAUCCGCCACACUGGGACUGAGACACGGCCCAGACUCCUACGGGAGGCAGCAGUGGGGAAUAUUGGACAAUGGGCGAAAGCCUGAUCCAGCCAUGCCGCGUGUGUGAAGAAGGCCUUUUGGUUGUAAAGCACUUUAAGCGAGGAGGAGGCUACCGAGAUUAAUACUCUUGGAUAGUGGACGUUACUCGCAGAAUAAGCACCGGCUAACUCUGUGCCAGCAGCCGCGGUAAUACAGAGGGUGCGAGCGUUAAUCGGAUUUACUGGGCGUAAAGCGUGCGUAGGCGGCUUUUUAAGUCGGAUGUGAAAUCCCUGAGCUUAACUUAGGAAUUGCAUUCGAUACUGGGAAGCUAGAGUAUGGGAGAGGAUGGUAGAAUUCCAGGUGUAGCGGUGAAAUGCGUAGAGAUCUGGAGGAAUACCGAUGGCGAAGGCAGCCAUCUGGCCUAAUACUGACGCUGAGGUACGAAAGCAUGGGGAGCAAACAGGAUUAGAUACCCUGGUAGUCCAUGCCGUAAACGAUGUCUACUAGCCGUUGGGGCCUUUGAGGCUUUAGUGGCGCAGCUAACGCGAUAAGUAGACCGCCUGGGGAGUACGGUCGCAAGACUAAAACUCAAAUGAAUUGACGG